rnacentral:rRNA from 1 species
CACAUGCAAGUCGAACGAUGAACCACUUCGGUGGGGAUUAGUGGCGAACGGGUGAGUAACACGUGGGCAAUCUGCCCUGCACUCUGGGACAAGCCCUGGAAACGGGGUCUAAUACCGGAUACUGAUCCUCGCAGGCAUCUGCGAGGUUCGAAAGCUCCGGCGGUGCAGGAUGAGCCCGCGGCCUAUCAGCUAGUUGGUGAGGUAACGGCUCACCAAGGCGACGACGGGUAGCCGGCCUGAGAGGGCGACCGGCCACACUGGGACUGAGACACGGCCCAGACUCCUACGGGAGGCAGCAGUGGGGAAUAUUGCACAAUGGGCGAAAGCCUGAUGCAGCGACGCCGCGUGAGGGAUGACGGCCUUCGGGUUGUAAACCUCUUUCAGCAGGGAAGAAGCGAAAGUGACGGUACCUGCAGAAGAAGCGCCGGCUAACUACGUGCCAGCAGCCGCGGUAAUACGUAGGGCGCAAGCGUUGUCCGGAAUUAUUGGGCGUAAAGAGCUCGUAGGCGGCUUGUCACGUCGGUUGUGAAAGCCCGGGGCUUAACCCCGGGUCUGCAGUCGAUACGGGCAGGCUAGAGUUCGGUAGGGGAGAUCGGAAUUCCUGGUGUAGCGGUGAAAUGCGCAGAUAUCAGGAGGAACACCGGUGGCGAAGGCGGAUCUCUGGGCCGAUACUGACGCUGAGGAGCGAAAGCGUGGGGAGCGAACAGGAUUAGAUACCCUGGUAGUCCACGCCGUAAACGGUGGGCACUAGGUGUGGGCAACAUUCCACGUUGUCCGUGCCGCAGCUAACGCAUUAAGUGCCCCGCCUGGGGAGUACGGGCCGCAAGGCUAAAACUCAAAGGAAUUGACAGGGGCCCGCACAAGCGGCGGAGCAUGUGGCUUAAUUCGACGCAACGCGAAGAACCUUACCUAUGCUGACAUACAUCGGAGACCCUGAGACAGGGUCCCCAUGUGUCGUGUACAGUGUGCAUGCUGUCGUCAGCUCGUGUCGUGAGAUGUUGGGUAGUCCCGCACGAGCGCACCCUUGUCCC